UUUUUUUAGUGAAAUGCAAGGUAGUUUGGUUUCAGGAUGAAAUAGGUUGUUUUCAAAUUAUCUCAACUUGAUUUUUGAGAGAUCACAUGGGUAGGAAGAUUAAAAUGACUCUUCAGAAAGCUGGGUGUAUUUUGUUAAGUGAAUUGAAACUACCUCUCAGAUAACCACCUUGUCGUGAGGUGCCUAGAAUCAGAGAUAAAGAGGCUGGUACUCAGCAUGUUUUUCUAAUCACAUUGUCUGUGUCAAAGAGAAACCCUCAAUAAACUGACACAUGGAGUCAGUUCAUUAGCCUUAAUAAAAUUAAGGAGAGAACUUUCCAGAGGGUAUCAAUUAAAGCUUAAUUUGAAUGUCUGCCUUCGCAUCCCUGAUUCUCUGUGCCCUUUUUACUACCUCCCUGUUACUAAAUUCAAUUAUCUAUUAUGUAUUUUAAUUAUGAAUUUAGAGGGGGGUCUCAAACAUUAGGGAAUUUCUUUCUUAGAAGAGAUAAUCUGUUUAUUAGCCGAUUAUUUUCCAUUUGUUGAUUUAAAAAAUUUUAGAUAGUAUUUAGAGAGGAGCAUGUAAUAAGGGAUUCAUUAUAUGUGCUUUCCAUGUGUUGCUUUCUAUCCAGUGUGUUUCUUGUUUCUCCAGAUUUCUCCUCCUCUCUGCCCUGCCCUUCAGCUUUCUCAGCUAGGCCCCACUGCUCUAAGGGGCAUUUACAUAGCUCCCAUUAAACCUACUUGUAACUGUCUUUUUUUCUUCCCCUCCUUGGGCCAGGUCGGGGCAUGAUAGGUCGGGGAAGAGGGGGCUUUGGAGGCCGAGGCCGAGGCCGUGGAAGGGGAAGAGGUGCCCUCACUCGCCCUGUAUUGACCAAGGAGCAGCUGGACAACCAGUUGGAUGCGUACAUGUCGAAAACUAAAGGACACCUGGAUGCCGAGUUGGAUGCCUACAUGGCACAGACAGAUCCAGAAACCAACGAUUGAAGCCUGCCUGCCUGUCCUUCUGUGAGAGACUCUUGUUAAGUCACCACAUCUGUAAAUAACCUUGAGAUAACAGAUGAGAAGAAACUGAUUGAUGCUGGAAGGACCUAUCUCAAUAGGCUGUGGACUCACCUGUCACCAGUUUGUGCAUUUAGUGUGUUCCUUUUACUUUUUGAUACUGUGUUGUAUGAAACUCUUUUUUUCCUUUGAUUUAGUUGGGGUUUUUUUGUUUUUUUUGUUUUCCUCUUCCCUUCACCCAGACUUUGAAGAUGAAUGUGUUGGCCUUGUGGGUAGAACACUUUGCCUACCUCUGCCUCCCUUCACCUAUAUCAUACACUGACAUUCUCUGUGCCCCCACAAAAAGUUCCAGAAAGAGCCAGUUUUCCUCCUUGAUGCCUUGGUUUCUGAGAUAGAAUUCUGUUGUACAUCCUAUUUAAUAGCCUCUUAGAAGUGUUAAGAAAAUCUGGAGCUGAAAAAUAACGUUUUGCUGCAUUGUUAAUGAUGUAGUAAAUUGGGAACAUUGACAUUGCUAUAGGGACACAUAACAGGUUACCAUGGUAUCUGCUUUGACUGAAGUUGCUACCAGGUGCAUGGAUACCACAUCAUUGAUGACCAGCAUGCUGGAUUGGAUACGUGUAUUUUCUACCCUCAGAUGAGAUUUUUGAGCUUGCCUCUUGGUGGCUUUGUAUCAUAUCCAGAGGGAUGGGCUGCCUUACACCUGCAAUCGAGAGGAAGAAGCCCUUUGGUUUGACUCACACAGCACAGGGAGAGGAAUGGGGCAGUAGGGAGACCACCACUGGAAAGGAUCAGGAGCUGCCCGUGCCAGAAUGCAGUUAUCAUGUUUGUCCCAGGCCACUGUUGGGCUUCUCCAUUGUUGGCUUUAUUUGAUCCUCCUCUUUCUCUUGAAGGUUUAAGUUCAACCAUAUUCUGUCAACUGUUCCCAGUUUCAGUGGAAUCUUGUAUUUCUGGUUCAUUAUAACAAAUUGUUCUCUCAAAUCCAACCAGGACUCUCUCUCUCUUUGUUGGGCUCCUGAGGUGCUGUAGCUCUUUUAAUGUUAUCUUAAUGUACCCCUUGUGUAGUUGAGAAUCGUUC
rnacentral:lncRNA from 1 species